rnacentral:rRNA from 1 species
UACGUAGGUGGCGAGCGUUGUCCGGAUUUACUGGGCGUAAAGAGCGCGCAGGCGGCUGGUCAAGUCCGAUGUGAAAGCUCCCGGCUUAACUGGGAAAUUGCAUCGGAAACUGAUCGGCUGGAAGGUGGGAGAGGGUAGCGGAAUUCCCGGUGUAGUGGUGAAAUGCGUAGAUAUCGGAAGGAACAUCAGUGGCGAAAGCGACUUCCUGGACCAAUACUGACGCUCAUGUGCGAAAGCGUGGGGAGCAAACAGG